GAUGGCCGGCCCAUCGGUAGCGACUUGCAGGAGUAGCUAUCAAACCACCUUUAGCUGCUUCAAUUAAGAGUUGAGGUAGUGAGCAUCAAAGGAAAAGGCAUCGAUAAAGGUGUCAGGU
rfam:Niabella sp. BS26, complete genome.